rnacentral:rRNA from 1 species
AGCGAACGUUAGCGGCGGGCCUAACACAUGCAAGUCGAGCGAGAAAGGGGCUUCGGCCCCGAGUAAAGCGGCGGACGGGUGAGUAACACGUAGGUAAUCUUCCUUCGAGCGGGGGACAACGGUCCGAAAGGACCGCUAAUACCGCAUACGUUUCUCGGGACUUCGGUCCUGGGAAGGAAAGCUAGGUAGCAAUAUCCGGCACUCGAUGAGGAGCCUGCGUCGCAUCAGCUAGUUGGUGGGGUAANGGCCCACCAAGGCGAAGACGCGUAGCUGGUCUGGGAGGAUGAUCAGCCACACUGGGACUGAGACACGGCCCAGACUCCUACGGGAGGCAGCAGUGGGGAAUAUUGGACAAUGGGCGCAAGCCUGAUCCAGCCACGCCGCGUGAGUGAUGAA